UCAGCCCACCCCAAAAACAGCUCAACCACCAUGAAAAGCUAGAACAUAUUAAUUCCCUAGACUUGACCCUCCCUGAUUAACAACAUUAUUAAGCAGUGGUUCCUUUAUUAAAGGUGUAGUGGCCGUGCUGCUACAUCCCUCUUUUCCCAAAGCAGAAAUCAGGUGCCUGCAUUAAACAAUGCAAGAGUGAGAUGACACAUCUCAGCAAGUAAACAGAGCAAACCACAAUUGGACAAUGUAAACCAACUGUGCUUAAACAACCACGUAGUUCAAAACUUCCUUCUUGAAUAAUAAUUUGCAGCAAGUAAGCAAGUAACUAAUUACUUAACGCCAAGAAGAAUCACAAUGUAAAAAUCCACACUAUCCACAUCCACAUAAUAAAUUCCACACCUCUCCCAUGAAUGCACAUGGAUACAGAUGCAGUAAUGACUUCUGCCUUCAUAUCUCUGAGGAUAUUAAGCUGCAUCAUACCCCUUCUCGGGCAACAUAUGAUGCUCAAUGUACCGGUACGGUCGGACCAUAAGAUCACGAUGAACUUCCACGCAAUGAAUAAUGAAUGCAUUAUGCAUGACAACAACAUGAGUUCUUCCCAAAUAAAAUGUGCUAGACAUAUACUUCCACCCAUUCCACAUAUAAACCACUUGAGUAACAUGAUCAAACCACAAACUCAACAUAUGUAAUCAAUAAAACACGAAUAACUUCAAAUGAUGGUACUCAAUUAAAAAUAUGAAUACGAACACAAUAGCACAACAUAAUCAAGUAUAAGACUCUUCAUUCGACAGACGGAAUAACCAUCACUGUUUUACUUGCCUUCACCGGAAGUUUGGGCAAAUCCCUAAGUACGAUCCGGAAGUCCACCACCUUGGAUUCUUCCCUUUCUCCUUCCUUCUUCCUCCCUCCAAACUCCAAUUGAGAUCGCCACAUGACGGAGAACCAUGCGGGAGGGCUUCACCUUGGAGAGGGGGGGGGGGCGGCUAGGGUUUAGGGUGGUGUGGCUGCAAUGGUUUGAGGGAGGAGGAAA
rnacentral:lncRNA from 1 species